AUUGAACGCUGGCGGCAUGCCUUACACAUGCAAGUCGAACGGCAGCACGGGAGCAAUCCUGGUGGCGAGUGGCGAACGGGUGAGUAAUAUAUCGGAACGUGCCCGGUCGUGGGGGAUAACGUAGCGAAAGCUACGCUAAUACCGCAUACGAUCUACGGAUGAAAGCGGGGGGAUCGCAAGACCUCGCGCGAUUGGAGCGGCCGAUAUCAGAUUAGGUAGUUGGUGAGGUAAAGGCUCACCAAGCCGACGAUCUGUAGCUGGUCUGAGGGGACGACCAGCCACACUGGGACUGAGACACGGCCCAGACUCCUACGGGAGGCAGCAGUGGGGAAUUUUGGACAAUGGGCGAAGCCUGAUCCAGCAAUGCUGCGUGCAGGAAGAAGG
rnacentral:rRNA from 1 species